AGAACAAACUUACUAGCUUUUUUGGAAAGAAAUCUCUUAUCGGUGGCUGGUAAAGAGGUUCUCAUUAAAUCUGUAGCUACUUCCAUUCCCUCUUAUCCCAUGUCAAUGUUUGCUUUUCCUUUUAGUUCUUGUCAUAAGCUGAAUAGUUUGAUUAAAAAAUUUUGGUGGAAAAAUAGUGAUGGUAAUGGUGUCUUUUGGAUAAAAUGGGAAAGCUUGUGUAUUAGUAAAAAGUAUGGGUUUUAGAGACUUGUCUAGUUUUAACCUUGCUCUCCUUUCUAGGCAAUGCUGGCGUAUUUUACAUAAUGAGGAUGCUCUCUAGGUCAAGGUCUUCAAAGGGAAAUGUUUUCCAUCCUCAAACUUCCUUGAGGCCCAGUGCAAACAUAGCAGCUAUUGGGCUUGGAAAAGUAUUCUUAAGGGAAGAGAGGUUCAUUUAAAAGGAAUUUGUAAAGGUAUAGGGGAUGGCUCUACUACUUUCAUUUAUAGGGAUCCAUGGCUUCCAAAUUUACCAGAUUUGGAACGCUCGUAAUAAGGCUAUUUUCCAGUUUAGUGAUCCUCAUCUCCAUAGCGCAAUGUUUGCUAUUAAUGCUUCAGUAGAUGAAGGGUAUAUUGGCCUCAAUGAUAGGGCUAGUUCCCAUGUUGUUGAUGUGACGAUCCUACAUUCCUACCUCCCCAAACUGCUCCACCUACUGACACCUUUUCUAUAGUCUCUGAUGGGGCUUGGAGGGCAGCCUCUUCUCGUGGUAGCCGAGGUGUGAUUAUACGAGACCCGGCUGGUUCUUUUAUUGUUGCCAAGUGCAAAAUGGGGAAUGGUUUUUCUGCAGCACUAUGGAGGCUGAAGCUAUUAGGGACAGACUUUUAUUGGCUGCUAAGCUGAAUAUUACUUCUAUUGCAUGCUUCUCAGAUUGUCUUGCCGUUUUCCGUACUCUUCUUGGUGUAGAGUCUUCUAUUGAUUGGGCUACAAAGUCAGUAGUAGAUGAUACUCUUAGCUUAGUUUCUAUUUUUUCGUCUGUUAGGUUCUAUCAUGUUUCUCGCUUUACUGUUAGUGAGGCAAAUUUCUUAGCCAAAGGGGCUCUCAAAUUUGAGUUGUCUCGUACUUGGUGGAUAAAGCCACCUACUUUUAUUGUUUCUUCUGUACUUACCAGAAGGGGUUCUGCCCUUUUAGACUUCUUGGUUUAAUAAAAUAGAUAUCCU